GAUGAACGCUGGCGGCAUGCCUAAUACAUGCAAGUCGAACGAGAGGAAGGAAAGCUUGCUUUCCUGAAUCUAGUGGCGAACGGGUGAGUAACACGUAGGUAACCUGCCCAUGUGCCCGAGAUAACUUCUGGAAACGGAUGCUAAAACCGGAUAGGUAGCAGACAAGCAUUUGACUGCUAUUAAAGUGGCCUUGGCCAUGAACAUGGAUGGACCUGCGGUGCAUUAGCUAGUUGGUGAGGUAACGGCCCACCAAGGCGACGAUGCAUAGCCGGCCUGAGAGGGCGGACGGCCACAUUGGGACUGAGACACGGCCCAAACUCCUACGGGAGGCAGCAGUAGGGAAUUUUCGUCAAUGGGGGGAACCCUGAACGAGCAAUGCCGCGUGAGUGAGGAAGGUCUUCGGAUCGUAAAGCUCUGUUGUAAGAGAAAAACGGCACUCAUAGGGAAUGAUGAGUGAGUGAUGGUAUCUUACCAGAAAGUCACGGCUAACUACGUGCCAGCAGCCGCCGUAAUAC
rnacentral:rRNA from 1 species